GACGAACGCUGGCGGCGUGCUUAACACAUGCAAGUCGAACGGAAAGGCCCUGCUUUUGUGGGGUGCUCGAGUGGCGAACGGGUGAGUAACACGUGAGUAACCUGCCCUUGACUUUGGGAUAACUUCAGGAAACUGGGGCUAAUACCGGAUAGGAGCUCCUGCUGCAUGGUGGGGGUUGGAAAGUUUCGGCGGUUGGGGAUGGACUCGCGGCUUAUCAGCUUGUUGGUGGGGUAGUGGCUUACCAAGGCUUUGACGGGUAGCCGGCCUGAGAGGGUGACCGGCCACAUUGGGACUGCGAUACGGCCCAGACUCCUACGGGAGGCAGCAGUGGGGAAUAUUGCUCAAUGGGCGGAAGCCUGAUGCAGCAACGCCGCGUGCGGGAUGACGGCCUUCGGGUUGUAAACCGCUUUCGCCUGUGACGAAGCGUGAGUGGCGGUAAUGGGUAAAGAAGCACCGGCUAACUACGUG
rnacentral:rRNA from 1 species